rnacentral:piRNA from 1 species
UACAAACCCUACUCCUGGAAGGACCAGU